GCUCAUGUCAGCAGAACAUUCUCUAUAACUGGAAGAACAGAGAAGAUAAGCAAGGCCCCAGCACCAACAACACACUAAUCUGUGAAGCAUUCCCACUUUAC
rnacentral:snRNA from 1 species